rnacentral:rRNA from 1 species
GACGAACGCUGGCGGCGUGCCUAAUACAUGCCAGUAGAACGCUGAAGGAGGAGCUUGCUUCUCCGGAUGAGUUGCGAACGGGUGAGUAACGCGUAGGUAACCUGCCUGGUAGCGGGGGAUAACUAUUGGAAACGAUAGCUAAUACCGCAUAACAGUAGAUAUUGCAUGAUAUCUGCUUGAAAGGUGCAAUUGCAUCACUACCAGAUGGACCUGCGUUGUAUUAGCUAGUUGGUGAGGUAACGGCUCACCAAGGCGACGAUACAUAGCCGACCUGAGAGGGUGAUCGGCCACACUGGGACUGAGACACGGCCCAGACUCCUACGGGAGGCAGCAGUAGGGAAUCUUCGGCAAUGGACGGAAGUCUGACCGAGCAACGCCGCGUGAGUGAAGAAGGGUUUCGGAUCGUAAAGCUCUGUUGUAAGAGAAGAACGAGGGUGAGAGUGGAAAGUUCACACUGUGACGGUAUCUUACCAGAAAGGGACGGCUAACUACGUG